rnacentral:tRNA from 1 species
GAGGGUAUAGUUCAGUGGUAAAACAUGUGCUUAGCACGCACAAGGUCCUGUGUUCAGUUCCCAGUACCUCCA